rnacentral:lncRNA from 10 species
AGCUGGACACUAGAACACGCUUCCUGUCUUUCAUUACCCCGUGACCUUUCCUAUCAGCAGCCCGUGGCUGUGAAUUCUUUAUCCCUGGGAACUUGGCUGCCACAUGUGAUUCUGAUGGAAGAUGGAAUGAAGCCGUUGGCUGAGCCAGCAGGUGCAAGCUUCAAGGGAGUACGAAAGAAUCCACUGUGAAGAGAAAGGGUUGAGUUUAUUUCACUACUUAUUAAAUAGUACUACGUGUUUUUUUUUUAAAAAAAUAGAGACCACAUGAUAUUUACAGUCAACUUGUACACAUGUCCCCACCUCCAAAUUAUCCUACCACCUCAUGUAACUAAAGAGUGAUCUGUUCCAAUGCUGCAGGGGAAAACUCGCUUUGUUGAUUUAUUUAAUGAAAUGGGUCAGUAGACAAAGAUGUUACCAAAAAUGGGUGAUUUAAAGAAAUUUCAAGAAUAAUUUUAUGGGCUUUUUGGUUUGUUAUAUAUAUGUAUGCUUUUAGGGUACAAGUUGUUUUGGUUACAUGGAUGAUGGUAUAGUGGUGAAGUCUGACAUUUUAGUGUACCUGUCACCUGAAUAGUGUGCUUUUUAUCCAAUAUAUAGUUUUUUAUCCCUCACCCCCCAUCUCACCGUCCCCACUUCUGAGUCUUCAAUGUCCAUUAUACUACUCUGUAUGCCUUUGCAUACCCACAGCUUAGCUGUCAAGGGUGAUUUAGAAUGUACACAAUUUUCAUCUUGCAAUGGCGAGUGACCAACUCUACCUAAGAGGUGAUGCUGCUGUUAAUGGCUCAUCUGCUUGGUUCAAGCCUACACAUAUAAAACUUAGAAUAGGGUAAGUGCUCAACAAAUGAGAACUGUGACAUCAGUAGUAGCAGCCAUUAUAGUCACGGGAUCAGUAGAGUAAUCAUAGUAGUAGAUGACACGGCUACAGAAAGAUCUCUUUGAACAAAUAUUAGCGGGUCUCUGAAGCCAAGCAGAGCUUAUUGUCACGGUGGUUUAAAGGUUCUAGGCACCUUAAUUAAGAAAUUGCCCUGAAUAAUGGAGUGCUUUUGGAAUUUGGUGUCCAUUCCUUUAAGAGGCCAUUUUUAAGGGGUUGAUAAAUGGUCAUUUAUCUAGAGCUCACUCUGUGUUCUGGAUAUAAUCUUGUUACAUUGACACCCUACUUUGUGGUUUUUCAAGUGGACCCAUUCGUUUAUCCUGCGGAUUGUUUAAUUAUUUAUUUUUCCAGCAUAGUUUAAGCUAAAGAAAUAAUGGAAAUUCUAGAUUAUAGGAAAUUUGCAGUUUCUGUCAAGAAUUGGGCUGAAACACAGCAAAAUACCUACUCUGCAUGAUUUAAUAUUAAUAUCUAGGAAAAAUGUAGAUUAG